rnacentral:rRNA from 1 species
UACGUAGGGGGCUAGCGUUGUCCGGAUUUAUUGGGCGUAAAGAGCGUGUAGGCGGCUUGGUAGGUCCGUUGUGAAAACUCGAGGCUCAACCUCGAGACGUCGGUUGAAACCGUAAGGCUAGAGUCCGGAAGAGGAGAGUGGAAUUCCCGGUGUAGCGGUGAAAUGCGCAGAUAUCGGGAAGAACACCCGUGGCGAAGGCGGCUCUCUGGGACGGUACUGACGCUGAGACGCGAAAGCGUGGGGAGCGAACAGG